ACUUCAUAGAGGUAACACUUCAUAGACGUAACACUUCAUAGAGGUGAGGUAACACUUCAUAGAGGUGAGGUAACACUUCAUAGAGGUAACACUUCAUAGACGUAACACUUCAUAGAGGUGAUGUAACAC